CGAAGGGUGCAAGCGUUAAUCGGAAUUACUGGGCGUAAAAGCGCGCGUAGGUGGUUCAGCAAGUUGGAUGUGAAAAUCCCCGGGCUCAACCUGGGACUGCAUACCAAAAACUACUGAGCUAGAGUACGGUAGAGGGUGGUGGAAUUUCCUGUGUAGCGGUGAAAUGCGUAGAAUAUAGGAAGGAACACCAGUGGCGAAGGCGACCACCUGGACUGAUACUGACACUGAGGUGCGAAAGCGUGGGAGGCAAACAGGAUU
rnacentral:rRNA from 1 species